AUUGAACGCUGGCGGCAGGCCUAACACAUGCAAGUCGAGCAGAUGACGGGAGCUUGCUCCUGGAUUCAGCGGCGGACGGGAGAGUAAUGCCUAGGAAUCUGCCUGGUAGUGGGGGAUAACGUCCGGAAACGGGCGCUAAUACCGCAUACGUCCUGAGGGAGAAAGUGGGGGAUCUUCGGAACUCACGCUAUCAGAUGCGCCUAGGUCGGAUUAGCUAGUUUGUGGGGUAAAGGCCUACCAAGGCGACGAUCCGUAACUGGUCUGAGAGGAUGAUCAGUCACACUGGAACGGAGACACGGUCCAGACUCCUACGGGAGGCAGCAGUGGGGAAUAUUGGACAAUGGGCGAAAGCCUGAUCCAGCCAUGCCGCGUGUGUGAAGAAGGUCUUCGGAUUGUAAAGCACUUUAAGUUGGGAGGAAGGGCAGUAAGUUAAUACCUUGCUGUUUUGACGUUACCAACAGAAUAAGCACCGGCUAACUUCGUG
rnacentral:rRNA from 1 species